GACGAACGCUGGCGGCGUGCUUAACACAUGCAAGUCGAACGGAAAGGCCCUGCUUUUGUGGGGUGCUCGAGUGGCGAACGGGUGAGUAACACGUGAGUAACCUGCCCUUGACUUUGGGAUAACUUCAGGAAACUGGGGCUAAUACCGGAUAGGAGCUCCUGCUGCAUGGUGGGGGUUGGAAAGUUUCGGCGGUUGGGGAUGGACUCGCGGCUUAUCAGCUUGUUGGUGGGGUAGUGACUUACCAAGGCUUUGACGGGUAGCCGGCCUGAGAGGGUGACCGGCCACUUUGGGAUUGGGACCGCGCCCGGACCCCUCCGGGGGCAAGAGGGGGGAAAUAUUGCACAGUGGGCGGAGGCCUGAUCCAGCACCCCCGGGGGGGGGAGGCCGCCUUUGGGUUGGAAACCCUCUUUCGCCUGUGACGAAGCGGGAGUGCGGGUAAGGGGUAAAGAGCCCCCGCCUCCCUCCGUC
rnacentral:rRNA from 1 species